UACGUAGGGUGCAAGCGUUGUCCGGAAUUAUUGGGCGUAAAGAGCUCGUAGGCGGUGUGUCGCGUCGGCCGUGAAAAUCUACAGCUUAACUGUGGGCUUGCGGUCGAUACGGGCAUCACUGGAGUUCGGCAGGGGAGACUGGAAUUCCUGGUGUAGCGGUGAAAUGCGCAGAUAUCAGGAGGAACACCGGUGGCGAAGGCGGGUCUCUGGGCCGAUACUGACGCUGAGGAGCGAAAGCGUGGGGAGCGAACAGG
rnacentral:rRNA from 1 species